AAGAUGAACCGACCCGAACAGUUCGUGACUGGUUCGUUUGCAAACCCCAUAGUCCCCAACACACAAACCAGGCGAACUCAGCAAACCCUAGCAACCCAGAACACAGUAAAACACAUCUCCUAGGAUGAGAUGUAAUGGCGGCGAGUGUAGGGAUUAUGUUUCAACUACAAUGAGCAGUUCUCUGCGGGCCAUCGAUGCUGCAAACUGCAGCUACUACUUCUCGAAAGAGGAAGUUUUUGAAAAAAAGAAGUCGAGGUAGAGGACCCAAAAAUCUCUCUCCACGCCCUCACCGGAUGGUCCAUAACCUGAACCAUGAAAGUACUAGCUUUCAUUCGAUGGUAAAAAGUCAUCGCCCUCAUCAACAGUGGGUUUACCCACAAUUUUAUCAGUGACUAAAUUACAGGCCGUUUAUAGCUCCAUAUGAUCCCGAUGCCUAGAUUUUCGGUCAAGGUGGCUAACGGGGAUCUAAUAAAAUGCUUCAGCCACUUCGAGCACAUGCCAAUCUCCCUUCAAGAUGUGGUGAUUAUGUGGCCUAGGUGCCCCGCCACUCUAGGUGGCUUCAUUGGAGGAACUUAGCAAGUUUGUGGCUGAGCAGCACUCUGUAUAUGCUGUCUGUUUUAUAGCAGAAAAUCAGGCCCCUUCUCCAGUUGAGCAGCCUGAGCUGCAGCAACUAAUUGACCAAAAUUCUGAUCUAUUUGAGGAACCCAAACAGCUCCCCCAUCGAAGAGACAUUGACCCCGAAUUUCCCUCAAAUAUGGCACUAAACCAAUCAAUGUACGCUCGUACCGGUAUUCCUAUUUUCAGAAAUAUUGAAAGACAAGUGUUUGACAUGCUCAAAAGUGGCCUCAUUCGGCCAAGUACGAGUCCAUUCUCAUCGUUGGUGCUGUUAGUACGCAAAAAGGAAAAGACUUGGUAGUUUUGUACCAAUUACCGAGCCCUCAACAUAGUGACCAUCAAGAACUGUUUCCAUAUUUCGACAGUAUAAGAUAUGUUGGAUGAGCUACAUGGACCUCACUACGGGGUAUCAUCAAGUCCGGGUUGACCCUAAAGACAUACCCAAGACCACGUUCAGAACCCACAAUGGCUAUUAUGAGUAUUUGGUAAUGUCUUUCGGUCUAUGUAUGGUACCCUCUACUUUUCAAGCUAUUAUGAAUUCAAUUUUUCGACCAUACCUAUGGAAGUUUAUUCUGGUUUUCUUUGAUGAUAUUCUAGUCUAUAAUGCAAGCUAGGAAUUGCACCUUGCCCAUGUCCAGUCAGUUUUUGAGGUCUUCAGACAUCAUUAGUUUUUUGUGAAGCUCAAGAAGUGCACAUUCGGGAGUCAAGAGCUAGAAUAUUUCAGCCAUAUCAUUACCUCAGAAGGUGUCAAAAUAGACCAAUGAAAAAUUCAAGCCAUGUUAGGAUGGCUGAGACCUACUACAAUCACAGAGCUUCAAGGUUUUCUAGGACUCACAGGGUAUUAUCCCAAGUUUGUACAGAAUUAUGGAAUAAUGGCUCGUCCUUUCACUAACUUACUCGAAAAGGGGUCCUUCAAUUGAAGCACUGAGGCAGAAACCACCUUCACUGAACUUAAGCAUGCCAUGACCACCCACCCUACUCUAGCACUCCUCAACUUCAAUGAAGCCUUUACCAUCGAAGUUGAUGCAUCCAGAGAAAGAAUUAGGGCAGUCCUCACCCAACAGGGCAAGCUCAUUACGUAUAUAAGCCUUGCUUUAAGAGCAUCCAAGUUAUUGUGGUCCACCUAUGCCAAAGAGUUGCUGGCCAUCAUCGUCGUCAUUCAAACUUGGAGGCUGUAUCUAUUGGGGUGCAAAUUUUUUUAUCAAAACUGAUCAAUGCAGUUUGAAGUACUUGAUGGACGAACGAAUCACCACCCUAUAACAUCAAAAAUAGGUCUCUAAGUUGUUCAGUUAUGAUUAUGAGAUAUUAUAUAAGCCAGACAAAGAAAACCAAGUGGCUAUGCCUUAUCUCGACAACUUCAUAAUCCUAUCAUACAUGCUCUCUUUACUGCCAACACAACUAUAUGGGAUUAGAUCAGAAAGGAAUCCGAAAAUAACCUCUAUGUCCAAAAAAAUUGUAAAAAAAGCAAGAGAAUAACCAGGUCAACCAUAUCAAGAAAAAAAUGGACUAGUAUACUACAAACACCGAGUUAUCAUUCCUCCUACAUCCCGUAUAGUUCGACUGCUUCUAUAAGCUUAUCAUGAUUCUCCUAUGGGCAGUCACUCUGGUAUUCUCUAUACCUAUAAACGAUUAGUGCAGUAAUUCUUUUGGCCUUCCAUGAGACGGACCAUCCAAGAUUAUGUAUGCUGUGUGAGACAUGUCAACGAGCUAAGUCCAAAACUUUGUCUAUAGUUGGGCUCUUACAACCUCUACCGAUUCUGUGUCAGGUAUUGGAUGACAUUACCAUGGAUUUUGUUAAAAGCCUUCCACCUUCCCAGGGUAAAAAUACUAUUUUGGUAGUUAUCGACCGGCAUAGUAAAUCCACUCAUUUCUUAGCAUUAAGUUACUUGUACAUCGCUAAAGGGGUAGCAGAAAAAUUCACUAAAAAAUAUAAUCAAGCUCUGUGGCAUGUCUCGCUCCAUUAUAAGUGAUCGAGACCCUAUUUUCAUUAGUUAUUUUUAAAAAGAAUUCUUUAAACAUUCAAGGACCAAACUGAAGAUGAGCUCGGCCUACCACCCUCAAACUUAUGGUCAAUCAAAGGUAGUCAAUCGAUGUGUCGAAUAAUAUCUCUGAUGCUUUGGACAUCAGUGGCUUAAAAAAUGGUGCUUCUUCUUUCCAUGGGCAAAAUAUUGAUAUAACACCACCUACCACUCAUCCAUUGGCAUGACUCCCUUCCAGGUACUAUAUGGGAGACCGCCACCCACCAUCCCUCACUAUAUGGAAGGUAUGACAGUUGUGAAUGAGGUUGACCAAUAGUUAACUGCCUGAGAUAAACUUCUUAUCAAACUCAAGAAUAACUUAUAUGCAGCACAAAAUCGUAUGAAGCAAUCAGUAGAUAACCGUCAUUACCAUGUGGAGUAUCAAGUUGAUGAUUAGGUUUUUUUACGCCUUCAACUUUACUAACAACAAACCGUAUUCAAGAGGGUUAUCCAAAAAUUGGCUUGCCAUUUCUUUGGGCCAUUUCAGAUCGAAGUAUGAAUUGGGCCAGUGGCAUAUCGCCUUAAGUUACCACCCUCUUCUUGCAUCCAUCCAGUGUUCCACGUCUCCCUUCUCAAAAAAUAAGUUGGAGACCACACAUUCCCCAUCAAAGACCUACCAGCAACAAAUGAAGAUGGAACCGUCAUCCUACAACCCAAAAAAAUUCUGGAUAUCCACUGGCUCAAAAAAGGCACACAAAUAGUAGAAGAAAGCCUAGUUAAAUAGAAGCACCUUCUUGUAGCUGAUGUAACUUGAGAAAAUACAGACGAAUUACGAGACCACUUUCUUAAUUUAAACCUUGAGGACAAGGUUUAUUUUCAAGGGAGAGUGAUGAUAAGCCCCCAUUUAGAAGAUCUAGUCGGGUGCCUAUAAAAAAAUCCCAAGAAUCUCCAGUAACUGCCCACUACCAGCAAAAGAAUCGGUCAACAAAGAAUUCUCAAUGAAUCCAACUACUCCACGAUCUACACUUCCACAAACCCCAGUAUCUCUUAUUGCGUUUAUCCUUUAUAAUUUCUAAUAAUUAUCUAGAAGCAUAGAAGUAGAAAAGUUAGUUAUAAUCUUUUCUAUUUGGGAACUUCAAAAUCAUAAAUUAAAGCAUAUAUUUUUGUAGAACUCUCACUGGUCUUUCUCACCAAAAGGAGAAAUCUUUUACUGUUAUAUUAUGCCUCUAACUAAGACCAACAUAUUUCCUCUAAGUUCAAGUAGUAGGAUGCUAUUUUAUUUUCUUAUGAUAUUUUAGCUUUCACUUUUUGAGGAGGUUCACCCUCUUCUUAACAAUUAUGUGCCAAUUGAAGAAAUUGGUAUUUGCUUAUGCUUGGUAAUUGUGAACAACUCGUUCAAGUUUCAUAGUGUUUGUGAAAGAUAGAUUUGGCAUAGCUAAAUUUGGAUUGCAUGUUCAAUUUAUUUCCUCUUAAGUUACAUGUCUUCAUUACAAGGAAAGCCAUUAGAAGAUACUAAACAAACAUUAAUACUAGCUUGCUGCAAAACUCUAUACUCUCAUUAGCCAUAAUUAUUAUUUUGUUAGCUUUAGUCAAAUAAAAAUGGCAUUUCAAUUACUAUAAGUUAAAUUGUUUUAGGAGGAUAAUCUGUUCAAUUAAUUACUUAAUAAAAAAUUUAUCUACUUAUGAUGCAAUUUUUUUCAUUCAUCAAGCUCUCAAUGUUCUUAUUGUUGUGAUUGUCAAUGCUUGACCUCCUCUUCCUUUUGCAACUCUUGUAUUUUGGGAUAUUCAUAGAUGUAUGCUCUUCUCUUUCAAUGGCCAAUCCUUACACCUGUCUCGUUCACUGGCGGCCCCAAUAAGACAUAAAUCUCCUAAGCCUGGGCCAGUUAUCAUGAUGGUGAAACAAAAUAUUCAAUGCAUUAAGGGAACUGGUGAGCAAACCAUACCAAAUGUGUGCUUAAUAAAGUCCAGAGAUGGUACAAAUGGUGUGGCCAGAUUCAAGUUUAAUCAACCUUAUGUUCUUAAUUCAACUGGAGAAGUUGGUGAUAUCAUUGGUUUUUACAUGACUGAUGAGGAAGGGGUUUUACAAUCAGCUGAUAUAAGUGCCAAAUUUAUUAAGGAAAAGUCUACUGGAAUGGAUGCAAGGUACGUAAUGCGGUCUCCUUGUGAUUGGGACAGAUUCAUGAGAUUUAUGGAGUGAUACUCUAAUGAGAAUGGCUUGAAAUUCAUUAAAAAAUGAGGCAAUUGAUAUCCUUUCGUUUUUAUCAGCCACUUUCAUCUAUAACCUCAAUGGUUUUGUAUAAUUUAGUCAAGUAAAACUUCAUAUGUCUAAUGUUUCAUAUAUAGAGUUGAUACAAAUACCAUA